AUUAUAUAAAAACAAACUCCACACUACAACAUUUGGUCCUUCGAGCCGGAGAUCAUCAACACAUCCACCAGCGAUUCUUGGGAGUUCUGAGAUAAGUAACUGAUUGCUUUUCGUUUCACUGCAACUUGCAUAGACUUGGGUAGCUCAUGAGUAGCAGUGCUGGGAAAAAGAUCGAUCUAGCAAACGAUAUAUCGAUGUUUCAUAUCCAUCGAAAAUAUCGAUGUAGAAAACUUCGAUACUUGAUAUAUCGCCAUCACUAUACCAUUAAUUCCCCAUCACUUGAAUUAAAAGCGUGGGAUAAGACUGUCAGGAUUUUGGUGUUGGUAGUGUUGUAGAGAAAUGGAUAAGUUUUUAAACAGCAAGGACAAUGGCGAAGAUUGCGACGCGGAUAAGGAAAAUGGAGAGGCUUGUCUCAAGCCGCAGCAAGUAGAUAUGCUGCUCUUCAUAAACAAAAAUGAUUGGACGAAGUAAAUGAUCUUAUUAAAUAAUAUAAUCUUUGUUA